CUCCAGAUGUUGCUGAAUUACAACUCUCAUGAUUCUAAGCCUGUCUAUUUUACUCUCAAAAUCAUGGGAGUUGUAGUUCAGCAACAUCUGGAG